UACGCAGGUGGCAAGCGUUAUCCGGAUUUAUUGGGCGUAAAGGGAACGCAGGCGGUCUUUUAAGUCUGAUGUGAAAGCCUUCGGCUUAACCGGAGUAGUGCAUUGGAAACUGGGAGACUUGAGUGCAGAAGAGGAGAGUGGAACUCCAUGUGUAGCGGUGAAAUGCGUAGAUAUUAGGAGGAACACCAGUGGCGAAGGCGACUUACUGGACUGUAACUGACGUUGAGGCACGAAAGUGUGGGGAGCAAACAGG
rnacentral:rRNA from 1 species